AGCCCGCUCGCCGGAAGACCAAGGGUUCCUGUCCAACGUUAAUCGGGGCAGGGUGAGUCGACCCCUAAGGCGAGGCCGAAAGGCGUAGUCGAUGGGAAACAGGUUAAUAUUCCUGUACUUGGUGUUACUGCGAAGGGGGGACGGAGAAGGCUAUGUUGGCCGGGCGACGGUUGUCCCGGUUUAAGCGUGUAGGCUGGUUUUCCAGGCAAAUCCGGAAAAUCAAGGCUGAGGCGUGAUGACGAGGCACUACGGUGCUGAAGCAACAAAUGCCCUGCUUCCAGGAAAAGCCUCUAAGCAUCAGGUAACAUCAAAUCGUACCCCAAACCGACACAGGUGGUCAGGUAGAGAAUACCAAGGCGCUUGAGAGAACUCGGGUGAAGGAACUAGGCAAAAUGGUGCCGUAACUUCGGGAGAAGGCACGCUGAUAUGUAGGUGAGGUCCCUCGCGGAUGGAGCUGAAAUCAGUCGAAGAUACCAGCUGGCUGCAACUGUUUAUUAAAAACACAGCACUGUGCAAACACGAAAGUGGACGUAUACGGUGUGACGCCUCCCCGGUGCCGGAAGGUUAAUUGAUGGGGUUAGCGCAAGCGAAGCUCUUGAUCGAAGCCCCGGUAAACGGCGGCCGUAACAAUAACGGUCCUAAGGUAGCGAAAUUCCUUGUCGGGUAAGUUCCGACCUGCACGAAUGGCGUAAUGAUGGCCAGGCUGUCUCCACCCGAGACUCAGUGAAAUUGAACUCGCUGUGAAGAUGCAGUGUACCCGCGGCAAGACGGAAAGACCCCGUGAACCUUUACUAUAGCUUGACACUGAACAUUGAGCCUUGAUGUGUAGGAUAGGUGGGAGGCUUUGAAGUGUGGACGCCAGUCUGCAUGGAGCCGACCUUGAAAUACCACCCUUUAAUGUUUGAUGUUCUAACGUUGACCCGUAAUCCGGGUUGCGGACAGUGUCUGGUGGGUAGUUUGACUGGGGCGGUCUCCUCCUAAAGAGUAACGGAGGAGCACGAAGGUUGGCUAAUCCUGGUCGGACAUCAGGAGGUUAGUGCAAUGGCAUAAGCCAGCUUGACUGCGAGCGUGACGGCGCGAGCAGGUGCGAAAGCAGGUCAUAGUGAUCCGGUGGUUCUGAAUGGAAGGGCCAUCGCUCAACGGAUAAAAGGUACUCCGGGGAUAACAAGCUGAUACCGCCCAAGAGUUCAUAUCGACGGCGGUGUUUGGCACCUCGAUGUCGGCUCAUCACAUCCUGGGGCUGAAGUAGGUCCCAAGGGUAUGGCUGUUCGCCAUUUAAAGUGGUACGCGAGCUGGGUUUAGAACGUCGUGAGACAGUUCGGUCCCUAUCUGCCGUGGGCGCUGGAGAACUGAGGGGGGCUGCUCCUAGUACGAGAGGACCGGAGUGGACGCAUCACUGGUGUUCGGGUUGUCAUGCCAAUGGCACUGCCCGGUAGCUAAAUGCGGAAGAGAUAAGUGCUGAAAGCAUCUAAGCACAAAACUUGCCCCGAGAUGAGUUCUCCCUGACCCUUUAAGGGUCCUGAAGGAACGUUGAAGACGACGACGUUGAUAGGCCGGGUGUGUAAGCGCAGCGAUGCGUUGAGCUAACCGGUACUAAUGAACCGUGAGGCUUAACC
rnacentral:rRNA from 1 species